UUUUUUUUCUCCCCACAGUUACUGCUCUUAUGUCAAAUUCUCUUUGAAUGAUAUAUUUCUUUUCUUGUCUCUCUCUGUCUUUCACACUCACAUUCUAAUGACUCUUUUGAUAAUAUCCAAGGCGCUUAUUUAGAAAGAAAGAAGAUCAGCAGGAAGAAAAACAUCUUCUCUUACUCCAGAUUUUUUCCCAUUUUAAAAUACGACAUUCUAUUCAUCUUGUAGAAUUUUUUAAGUUUUCAGAAGUGAAUAUUAAUCAAGUCACAAUGUGAGGCAUUGAAGGAAUCCAUUCACCUAUCUGACUCAAUCUUAUCUUUUAUAAAAGGCAGUCACUAAAUUGCCCAGAGCUUAUACCUUUUGAAUAAGUAACUUCUUUUUUUUUUUUUAAUCCACUGCUUUCUCAUUGGUCUCUGCUUAAGCACUCUGAGUGGAGUCAUCCCCGUAAAAUGAAAAACUGAGGGAAAAAGCCUCUCCAUGAUUUGAUGAGGGUCACAUGGCUGGUCUGUGACAUUAAGAAAUAGCCUGGUAAACUCAGUACACCGGACAAUCUUCCCACUCAAUUGUAAAUCAUUUAAACUCAGAUUUAAGUAUAAUACCUUGCCUUGGUCUCAGUGCCACAGUGGUCAUUUUAUUGUUUCUGGCAGAGAAGGGAGGAAAAAAUGAAAAGUAAUAUAGUGGUUGAAAGCUAAAUCUCUUUAACAGACUAAGCUUUUUUAAAAAAAAACUCACUGUUUUCCUCCAAUUCCUUCCUUUUGCACCCCAGACUUGGUCCCACUUCAAGAAUGUAUAAAAAAUUAUGAGUUCAUCUUCUCUGGGAAUAACUAUCCCUACCAUAAGUGGGAAGAGCCCUGGAAAAGGAAUCGUGAGACCCAGGCACUUGUCCUAGCUGAGCCACUAAUUAGCUGUGUUACUUUGGGCAAGUUGUUUCAUGACUCUGACCUUCAGUUUUUCUAUCUGUAAAAAUAAGAGGGUUGGAGGAGAAAGUUUCUAAGGUCGUUUUAGUCCCAACUUUCCUUGAUGGUGUGGUCAAUAAAAGAAAAUACACACUGUGAAUAUACACAUGAAGUAAAGAGUGAAGUAAGAAGAGACUAAUUGGUCCGGGCAAAAGGCAAUGCACAUGUACACACACACACACACAAAUCCAAAGAUGCAUGAAGCUGAAAAGUAUGAGAUGGUGUUAGCAAUUUAAGAAAGGAUUUAGCUACUGUUUGCUAUCAUCCAUUUUACAGAGAACUUGAAGCCUUGGGUUAGAUGGUCAUUUUCCACCUCUAAGCUGUCCUUUCUUUUAUAGGUUGAUGCAGUUGUUAAUCCAAAGGGAUAUAGGAUGGUGUCUUAGUUUGGAUUGCUAUAGCAGAAUACCAUAGACGGGGUGGAUUAAACAACAAACAUUUAUUUCUCACAGUUCUGGAGGCCAGGAAGUCUUAGAUCAAAGUGCUGGCAGAUAUGGUGUCUGGUGAGGGCCCACUUUGGCAUUUAUAGACAGCUGUCUUCUGAUGGCAGAAGGGGUGAGGGAGCUCUCUGGGGUUUCUUUUAUAAGAGCUUUCAUCACAUUUAUGAGGACUCUGCCCUCAUGACCUAAUCACCUCUCAUAGGCCCCACCUCCAAACACCAUCACAUUGGGAAUUAGAAUUCCAACAUAUGAAUUUUGGGAAGACAUGAAU
rnacentral:lncRNA from 1 species